rnacentral:rRNA from 1 species
AGUGGGGAAUAUUGCACAAUGGGCGCAAGCCUGAUGCAGCGACGCCGCGUGAGGGAUGACGGCCUUCGGGUUGUAAACCUCUUUUCAGUAGGGAAGAAGCGUAAGUGACGGUACCUGCAGAAGAAGCGCCGGCUAACUACGUGCCAGCAGCCGCGGUAAUACGUAGGGCGCAAGCGUUAUCCGGAAUUAUUGGGCGUAAAGAGCUCGUAGGCGGUUUGUCGCGUCUGCUGUGAAAGACCGGGGCUCAACUCCGGUUCUGCAGUGGGUACGGGCAGACUAGAGUGCAGUAGGGGAGACUGGAAUUCCUGGUGUAGCGGUGAAAUGCGCAGAUAUCAGGAGGAACACCGAUGGCGAAGGCAGGUCUCUGGGCUGUAACUGACGCUGAGGAGCGAAAGCAUGGGGAGCGAACAGGAUUAGAUACCCUGGUAGUCCAUGCCGUAAACGUUGGGCACUAGGUGUGGGGGACAUUCCACGUUUUCCGCGCCGUAGCUAACGCAUUAAGUGCCCCGCCUGGGGAGUACGGCCGCAAGGCUAAAACUCAAAG